rnacentral:rRNA from 1 species
AGGGUUUGAUUAUGGCUCAGGAUGAACGCUGGCGGCGUGCCUAAUACAUGCAAGUCGAACGCACAGCGAAAGGUGCUUGCACCUUUCAAGUGAGUGGCGAACGGGUGAGUAACACGUGGACAACCUGCCUCAAGGCUGGGGAUAACAUUUGGAAACAGAUGCUAAUACCGAAUAAAACUUAGUGUCGCAUGACACAAAGUUAAAAGGCGCUUCGGCGUCACCUAGAGAUGGAUCCGCGGUGCAUUAGUUAGUUGGUGGGGUAAAGGCCUACCAAGACAAUGAUGCAUAGCCGAGUUGAGAGACUGAUCGGCCACAUUGGGACUGAGACACGGCCCAA